GCGGCCGGGUUUCAACCUCAGCUGUUAAACUAUUUUUAUUUAUUUGCUUGUUAGUUUUGUUUAAUUCUUUAUUUGUGUGGUCGCUGUUUGCCUUUGUUUAGCAUUGGAAUAGCCAGGAAUAGCACACUAACUUACUUUCACUUUCUUUCCACUUGAUGCCUGAUCGACUGUUUUGCAGCACACGGAAGUAUUUCCUGUUCUUUGUACGAACAACCCACAAAGAGAAAUUGAAACAAGACAAUAGGCUGAAAUCGUAAAACAAUCAUUGUGGUACUCAUGGAUGCACUACUUCAGUUACUAAUUCUUCUGAUUCUACUAAUUCAAUGUAAUGGUUUUCAAGUAAAAAUCACUGGACUACCAACCAUCAACCAUCCAGAAUUUAACUUCUUUGUUAAAAAAAUUGAGG